rnacentral:rRNA from 1 species
GACGAACGCUGGCGGCGUGCUUAACACAUGCAAGUCGAACGGAAAGGCCCUGCUUUUGUGGAGUGCCCGCGUGGCGCACGGGUGAGUAACACGGGAGUCACCUGCGCUGGACGGUGGGAUAACUUCAGGAGACUGGGGCUAAUACCGGAUAGGAGCGCGUGCUGCAGGGUGGUGGUUGGAAAGUUUCGGAUGUUGGGGAUGGAUUCGCGGCUUAUCAGCUUGUUGGUGGGGUAGUGGCUUACCAAGGCUUUGGCGGGUAGCCGGCCUGAGAGGGUGACCGGCCACAUUGGGCCUGAGAUACGGCGCAGACUCCUACGGGAGGCAGCAGUGGGGAGUAUUGCACAAUGGGCGGAAGCCUGAUGAAGCAAUGCUGCGAGCGGGAUGCCGGCCUUCGGGUUGGAAACCGCUUUAGGCUGUGACGAAGCGUGAGUGACGGUAAUGGGUAAAGAAGCACCGGCUAACUACGUG